UACGUAGGGGGCAAGCGUUGUCCGGAUUUAUUGGGCGUAAAGAGCGUGUAGGCGGUUUGGUAGGUCCGUUGUGAAAACUCGAGGCUCAACCUCGAGACGCCGGCGGAAACCAUCAGGCUAGAGUCCGGAAGAGGAGAGUGGAAUUCCUGGUGUAGCGGUGAAAUGCGCAGAAUAUCAGGAGGACACCGAUGGCGAAAGGCAGCUCGCUGGACGGUACUGGACGCUGAGGCGCGAAAGCGUGGGAGCAAACAGGAUUGAGAU
rnacentral:rRNA from 1 species